CGCACAUUGCGCCCUUUGGUAUUCCGAAGGGCAUGCCUGUUCGAGCGUCAUUAUCACCCCUCAAGCCCCGUGCUUGGUGUUGGACGGCCGGUCGAGCGAUCGACCCCUCCGAAAGACAAUGACGGCGGCCUGUGGUUCCCCCGGUACACUGAGCUUCUCACCGAGCACGUACCGGACGAGGGCACCCGGGACCCGGUCCUCUCCUUUCACUAGGAAACUUUUCAAGGUUGACCUCGGAUCAGGUAGGAAUACGCGCUGAACUUAA
rnacentral:misc_RNA from 1 species